GAGUUUGAUCUUGGCUCAGGAUGAACGCUGGCGGCGUGCCUAAUACAUGCAAGUCGAACGGAGAUAGCAAUAUCUUAGUGGCGUUCGGGUGCGUAACACGUAGCUUACCUACCCCUCGGCGGGGGACAACUGCUGGAAACGGCAGCUAAUACCGCAUACAUUCGGGAGAACUAGAAAAUCUCGAAGAAACUUACGGGGUCGAGGGAGGGGGCUGCGGCCCAUCAGGUAGUUGGUGAGGUAAUGGCUCACCAAGCCGACGACGGGUAGGGGGCCUGAGAGGGUGGUCCCCCACACUGGGACUGACAACGGCCCAGACUCCUACGGGAGGCAGCAGUAAGGAAUAUUGCACAAUGGGCGAAAGCCUGAUGCAGCAACGCCGCGUGCAGGAUGAAGGCCUUCGGGUCGUAAACUGCUUUGGACCCUGACGAGCAAGGACGGUAGGGGUCGAACAAGUCACGGCUAACUACGUGCCAGCAGCCGCCGCAGU
rnacentral:rRNA from 1 species